UAAGCGGAGGAAAAGAAACUAACAAGGAUUCCCCUAGUAACUGCGAGUGAAGCGGGAAAAGCUCAAAUUUAAAAUCUGGUGGUCUUUGGCCAUCCGAGUUGUAAUUUAGAGAAGCGUCUUNCGCGCUGGACCGUGCACAAGUCUCCUGGAAUGGAGCGUCAUAGAGGGUGAGAAUCCCGUCUUUGGCACGGACACACCAGGGCUUUUGUGAUGCGCUCUCGAAGAGUCGAGUUGUUUGGGAAUGCAGCUCAAAAUGGGUGGUGAACUCCAUCUAAAGCUAAAUAUUGGCGAGAGACCGAUAGCGAACAAGUACCGUGAGGGAAAGAUGAAAAGCACUUUGGAAAGAGAGUGAAACAGUACGUGAAAUUGUUGAAAGGGAAACGCUUGAAGUCAGUCACGUCGACCGAGACUCAGCCUUGCCUCGGCUUGGUGUACUUCUCGGCUGACGGGUCAGCAUCAAUUUCGCCCCUUGGAUAAUGGCGAGGGAAAUGUGACACCUUUACGGUGUGUUAUAGUCUCUCGUCGCAUGCAAGGGUUGGGAUUGAGGAACUCAGCACGCGCCUUUUGGCGUCGGGGCUCUGCCCACGAUACGUGCUUAGGAUGUUGGCAUAAUGGCUUUAAACGACC
rnacentral:rRNA from 1 species